UGUGGUGUAUAAUUCUUUUGGCUUCAAACUGCAAGUUAGAAUCGUGCAUGUACAAUACGCCAUGCAGGACAAUAUAUGUAAAAACCAUUAAUAAUUAUCCAAGGUUUCGAGAAUGAUUUACCUUCUGAUGAUGUGAGCUAUAUUACGUGUUGGAAACCAAAUCCCACUUACGAAGCAGUAGCAGCUUGUUCAUGUAAAGCUUACAAACGAACUUCAACAAGGAAGAUGCUUAAAAGUACUGGAAAAUGCGUUUUAAUGUCAACGAUGUUGUCAGCUUUAAUUUCACUGUUAAUGGAUAACAGGGAGUCUAUUUAUGUUGUAGAAAUGACACCAGCCGAGGGUAUUGAAGUUGGAAAGACAAUUAAUAUAUCAAUAACAUGCUUGCUUGUGUUAAAGAAUCUUCUUGACUUCAAACUUCAACAAAACGGAAAUACAGUCGUACAUAUACAAUAUUCCCGUAUCAUCCACGGAUACAGAAAAUUAAAUACUAGCAACGGUUUCGACUGUGAUUUACCUGUUGCUAAUAUAGAUUAUAUUACCUGUUGGAAACAUAAACCCACUUGCAAUGAUGUAGCAGCUUACUCAUGUAAAACAUUCAACGCAGUUUCAAAAAAGAAGGUUUUUAAAGCAAAAUCUACCUUAGAGAGUCUGCAAAUUGCCGAAGGAUUUGAUGAACAAGGCAGAAAAGUAAAACACUUCAGAUGUGUAGCAACUAUUGGUGCACCUUUUCAAUCGGGAGGAACCUUUGUAUGGAUGGUAUCCAAUCAUAAUGGUGCAUUCGAUAUCUUCACACCGGAGGACAUCACGCGUACUUCGAGCUGUUAUUCUCUGACAUCAACAUAUUAUAUUUUCAUCCCACCAGCCAAAGAUGUCACAAAUAUCUCAUGUACAACAAAGUUUGGUUCAUUUGAUUUACAAAUCUCGGAUGAGAUAUCAAUUCUUAAAAAAAGGGUUACUGGAUGUCAUGAUAGAAAAUGAAAGAGGAAAAAUUCCCGGCAUCUACAAUAAGAUGCUAGGUAGUACAUACUGCUGAAGGAUAAAGACUGAAGGUGAUACCGAGGUGAUACCGAGGUGAAAGGAGAAAUAAAUUGAAACAUAUAAUGAAUAAACACUCCAAACGGUCAAAACAACUUUAUAUCAUUCCCAAAUUAUCAAAAAUCGAAUAUAAAUAUAUAUUAAAAUAAUAGAGCACCCAAUGGUAAAAACCCAAUAGUAUAAAAUAUAGACGGAUAUACAAAUAAAAGUAGAUAAAACCUAGAAGGAAACCAGAACAGAGUCCAUUCAAGCCCAUCUCUACGAUCGCUUCAAAGGAAGAAAAUAUGCUGCUGUUGGAUUUCCUUAAUGAAUUGUACAAGAGUUUAUACACAGUGUUACAAAUACAAUAUCCCUGCAUAUCUCACACUUAUUUUCAUUCCUGAAGUUCACGUUCUAUUUCUUAUCUUAUCUGAAUUAACUAUUGCCUAACCAUCCUCUCACACCGUCUCCGAUGUAGGGAUAUAAUAAAUAUCCUCGAAACAGCUGUAAGACCUUAUAUUUAUAAAUGUUCUAAAAUCUA